rnacentral:rRNA from 1 species
UACGUAGGGGGCUAGCGUUGUCCGGAAUCAUUGGGCGUAAAGCGCGUGUAGGCGGUCCGGUAAGUCCGCUGUGAAAGUCGGGGGGCUCAACCCUCGGAUGCCGGUGGAUACUGUCGGGCUUGAGUACGGAAGAGGCGAGUGGAAUUCCUGGUGUAGCGGUGAAAUGCGCAGAUAUCAGGAGGAACACCAAUUGCGAAGGCAGGCUCGCUGGGACGUUACUGACGCUGAGACGCGAAAGCGUGGGGAGCAAACAGG